AUUGAACGCUGGCGGCAUGCCUUACACAUGCAAGUCGAACGGUAACAGGUCUUCGGAUGCUGACGAGUGGCGAACGGGUGAGUAAUACAUCGGAACGUGCCUAGUAGUGGGGGAUAACUACUCGAAAGAGUGGCUAAUACCGCAUGAGAUCUACGGAUGAAAGCAGGGGAUCGCAAGACCUUGUGCUACUAGAGCGGCCGAUGGCGGAUUAGGUAGUUGGUGGGAUAAAAGCUUACCAAGCCGACGAUCUGUAGCUGGUCUGAAAGGACGAUCAGCCACACUGGGACUGAGACACGGCCCAGACUCCUACGGGAGGCAGCAGUGGGGAAUUUUGGACAAUGGGCGAAAGCCUGAUCCAGCAAUGCCGCGUGCAGGAUGAAGGCCUUCGGGUUGUAAACUGCUUUUGUACGGAACGAAAAGCUCUGGGUUAAUACCCUGGGGUCAUGACGGUACCGUAAGAAUAAGCACCGGCUAACUACGUGCCAGCCGCCGCGGUAACAC
rnacentral:rRNA from 1 species